UGAAACAUUGGAAAUUGGCAAAGUGUGCUAUUUUUAAACAAAACCAGAAUUUAUGUGAUAUUCAGGUGAUCAACGAAUUCGUGUACUUAUAGGGCGAGGGAAAACAAGCAAGAACAAAAACUGCCAGAUCUGUUAACAGAUAUAAAUGAAGAAAUUGCAUGUUCCGGGGAGGUGUUAUGACCGGUGAAGAAGCUCCUAAGUAGAAUUUCCAUCCAACCAACUUUAACACCUCGCAGGAGAACGACCCCUGAAGCUGACGAUGGAGCAAUCAGAUUCUGAGCCCGGACACGAUGCCAUCGAAGUGAUUGUGAAGUUUUGUGAUACUGAAUUUGUACAAUUUCGGUCUUUUUUUUGCUUUUUAAUUAUUUGUGCAGAAAACUAGCGACAGUAUUCUA
rnacentral:lncRNA from 1 species